AGAGUUUGAUUAUGGCUCAGGAUGAACGCUAGCUACAGGCUUAACACAUGCAAGUCGAGGGGCAGCAUUUUAGUUUGCUUGCAAACUGAAGAUGGCGACCGGCGCACGGGUGAGUAACACGUAUCCAACCUGCCGAUAACUCCGGAAUAGCCUUUCGAAAGAAAGAUUAAUACCGGAUAGUAUACGAAUAUCGCAUGAUAUUUUUAUUAAAGAAUUUCGGUUAUCGAUGGGGAUGCGUUCCAUUAGUUUGUUGGCGGGGUAACGGCCCACCAAGACUACGAUGGAUAGGGGUUCUGAGAGGAAGGUCCCCCACAUUGGAACUGAGACACGGUCCAA
rnacentral:rRNA from 1 species